AUUGAACGCUGGCGGCAUGCCUUACACAUGCAAGUCGAACGGCAGCACGGGGCAACCUGGUGGCGAGUGGCGAACGGGUGAGUAAUGCAUCGGAACGUACCUUUCAGUGGGGGAUAACGUAGCGAAAGUUACGCUAAUACCGCAUAUUCUGUGAGCAGGAAAGCAGGGGAUCGCAAGACCUUGCGCUGAUUGAGCGGCCGAUGUCAGAUUAGCUAGUUGGUGAGAUAAAGGCUCACCAAGGCGACGAUCUGUAGCGGGUCUGAGAGGAUGAUCCGCCACACUGGAACUGAGACACGGUCCAGACGCCUACGGGAGGCAGCAGUGGGGAAUUUUGGACAAUGGGGGCAACCCUGAUCCAGCCAUGCCGCGUGAGUGAAGAAGGCCUUCGGGUUGUAAAGCUCUUUCGGCCGGGAAGAAAUCGCACGGGCUAAUACCCUGUGUGGAUGACGGUACCGGAAUAAGAAGCACCGGCUAACUACGUGCCAGCAGCCGCAGUAACAC
rnacentral:rRNA from 1 species